rnacentral:rRNA from 1 species
AUGGCCAUACCAUGCUGAAUAUACCGGUUCUCGUUAGAUCACCGAAGUCAAGCAUCAUUGGGCGCGGUCAGUACUUGGGUGGGUGACCACCUGGGAACAUCGCGUGCCGUU